CCAAAGCAGGUGUCCUGCCAGCCGGGGUUAAAGCUUAAUCUACUGUUUUGGGUGUUUGGAGGGUUGGGAGGCAGAGAACAGAGUAUUUAUAACUAAGCGAGAAUGCACCUGAAUCGGGUCUUCCUAGCCUGGUCUAUCUACUUGAUCUUCUUGGGUCCCUGGAGGAGCGAGUUUAGGAAGCCCCCUUUUGCUUUUCCCCUUAGUGGGGUGUUCAGCCCCUGCAUGUAGGAGAAACAGAGCAGGCCAGGCCUUAAAAGGGCGGAAAGAUCAACAAAGGGGAAGCAAAAUGAUGCAAUUGGGUCCUGAUUACCAGCCCCGGCUCUGGCGAGAAUGUGAAUUCUCCAAAGAAUGAGUGAAGGAAGGGUUCCUGACCCCUCUGCCCUCUCAGAACGGUCCUGGGAAGCCCAGGGCGGGGAGAGCCUUGGGGACUGCUUGGGGGCCUGUGCUUUCAAGGAAGAAAUAUGGUGCAUUUCAGAAGAGGGCCUGAAAAACAUCACCUUGGAAGGAACCCAUGAGCAAGUAAGACAUUCUUUGGAGGGAGGCCAUUGGCAGGCUGUACCCUUGACCUCCGAGGCUCAGGUUUCUCAUUAAUAAACUGGAGUGAGCGCCAGGCGCCUUAGGAUUGGUGUUAUUUAUCUCGUUUGCUCAGCACUGGGUUUGUUGAUGAGGUCAGUGUUGUUAUCCCCACCCUAUGGCACGCACCAUGGGUGCAUGGGGUGUGCUGGAGGGUGGGAUGAUAGGAGGUGACCCUAAGCCAGGCCCCUUCCUCUGCCCCCCAAGUUUGGUCUUUCUCUUUCCUCUGUUCAACCAGAAAGUGCCAGGGAUGGCAGAGAGGGAAAUCGACAUGGUACAAAGAGGCGGGUACGACACAGUUGUCAAGGGCCAUCGACAGGAGCACAUGGAUUCGGGGGUUCUAGGUCUCUGUGGCGUAGGAGAUUGGGGAGGAGGUCCUGGUGGCUCCUCACUAUCAUUGUCAUCUAGGAGUAGCGGCUGAUACUGUUAGAGUUUGCGCCAAAACUCCCUCCAUGCCUCCCCUGAGACCUCGCCGACGAGACGGAGCACCAAGAAGCAGCUAGGUGAGUCACACAGCUGUUCUCCACGUUGGGGCCAUCACAGUGUGCACCCUGCCCCUCCAUAGGGGCUUUCUUGCCACCUCAGCCAUGCCUUUGAGAGCAGGAAAACCAGCAGCCCGCCUCACACCUCUCUAUGGAGGCCCACGUGGAAUUAACAAGUGUAAGGCGAAGGUGGACACGGUGUGUGCAUACCGGUGGUGUGUGCUUCUUCAGGAAGCAGAGGCAGGAGGAUGAUGAUUUCAAGGCCAGUCUGGGCUCCUCAAACCCAACCCAACAAUGAGGUGUAGCUACAAGAGGUGAAAUGAAAAGCAUCCCAAGAUCCCUUGGGACUGAGACUGGUCUGCUUCCUGUCCAGGGGAAGGCGUCUAAAAUGCUCACACACACAGCUGCUCUAAUUCUAAAGACGUCGUAUCAAUGUCCCAGGAAUCCUUGGCCCCCAUCGCUGCUGGCCCAGCACCACCGAGUGUAAGGUCCUGGGUGCACAGCACAGCCUGGUCUUACCACUCACCCUUGGGUCAUGCUGGGAUUUGAAUUCAUAGCGCACGUCAGCUGAGACUCUGGAGUUUUGUUGGGUAACAAGGUUUCACUGAUUCCCCAGGCAGGCCUCAAACUUGGUAUGUGGCCAAGGACAACUUUGAGGUUGUGAUUGAACCAGGGCUCUGCCUAAAGCUGGGCAAGCACUCUGCUCACUGAGGCACAUUCCCAGCUGGUAUUCACUGUAGUUCAGGUUAUCAUGUUCAAUAUCCAUGACUGUCACCCUAUCAGGGGGAGUCUUAGACAGGCCCUGUUAUUGCCUUCACAUGGAUGAAUUAUGCUAUGCUUGGCGAUGAAUCCAAGAGCUGUAUUCCUGCCUCAAUGCAAAUCAAGAUCAUUGCAAACAAACCUUGUUGAAAAGCCUUUCUGCGGCUGAGUGGGUAAUGGCUAACACUUUCAAUCCCAGUGCUCGGGAGGCAGAGGCAGGUGGGUGUCUGUGAGUUCGAUGCCAGCCUGGUCUACGGAGUGAGUUCCAGGACAGCCAAGGCUACACAGAGAAACUCCGUCUCAAUAAACCAAAACAAAAGACAACAAAACAAACCACAACAACAACAACAAAAAUCAAAAAACAAAAAACCUUUCUGCUGGACCUAGUGGCCCUGGAAUCCCAGCUACCAAAGAAGCUGAGGCAGGAGGAUUGCAGGUUGAAGGCCAGCAUUAGGUGCUUAAUGAGGCUUUGUCUAAAAUAAAAGUUUUCUCUUAAGAGUUAGGAGUGUACGUUGGUCAGAAAAGCUUAUGGGGCAUGGAUGAGAUCUUCCCUGCUAGUGCAAGUGUUUGGGGGUGGGCGUGAGGGUAGGGUAAUACUUUCUUCUGUAUUUCCUACUAAGAUCAAACUCCUGAGUCAAAACUCAAGUAGUUUUCAGUGGCUUGGAAGAAAAUGGGCCUGAGAUCUUGUCUCAGGUCCCCUGUAGCUGGAGUUACAGGCCGUUGUGAGUCGCCUGAUAUGGGUGCUAGGAGCUGAACUCAGGUCCUCUGCAAGAACACUGUGUGCUCUCAACUGCGUAACCAUCUCCCUAGUCUUAGAGAUCUCAUCUCAAGAAAACCAAGGACAGAAAGAGGAAGAGUGGCCCAAAGACUGACACUGAACUAACUACAGUCGUGGGGCCCGGGGACUUUUGCCCUGUGCUGAGGAUGGAACCCAGGGCUUUGCAGGUGCUAGACCAGCUCUUUACCUCUGUGACUGAGAUCAGUGCCUUAGCUGAUGUGUUUUGUGUCUUUGUUGUUCUGGGCAUGUGUAGAGGCAGUAUCUUUAGUAAAGAAAGCAUGGAGAGGGUGGCAAGAUGGCUCAGUGGGUAAAUUCCUGCUGCCAUACCUGAUGACCUGAGUUUGAAGUGUGCACAUGCAAGCAUACUUGAAUACACACACACACACACACACACACACACACACACACACACACACACAAAUGCAAUAGGUGUUUUAAAAAAAAUACUAUAGUGCUUUCUCUCUUAAUUUUUCAUGUGAUAAUAGUGUGUGCAUGUGAUACUCCCUUAGUGACUAUAUGAGUGUAUAUUUGAUAUCUCUCUCUCUCUCUCUCUCUCUCUCUCUCUCUGUGUGUGUGUGUGUGUGUGUGUGUGUGUGUGUGUGUAGGUGUUUUAAGAGGCUAGAAGACAGCAUCAGAUCUCCUGGAGCUGAAGUUCUUGUGAGCUAACUGAUGUGGGUGCUGGGAACAGAAUUGGAUCCCCUAUAAGAGAAGCAAGCACUCUUAACCACUGAGCCAUCUCCCCAGUCCCAUUAUUGGGAAAAUCUCACAGAAAUAGUCCCUUUGCUUAAGAUUCUUACAACUUCUCCGCUGUGGCUCUUAGUGUAAUGACCGUCAUACCCCAUGUGCACAGGAUUCUCAUGUAAGCCUGACUCUGCUCUUGUCUUUAGUCUCCACUACAGCUUAGCCACAGGUCCUCAAAGGCAUUGGCAUGGCAACCUUCACAGUGUAGAGCCUUGCAAAUGCUGGCCCCGCUAUCUAGAAUUUUCUUCCUUCUCUCUAGCUGUGUUUGCCUAAGCAUCCUUCCAUUCUAUGUUUAAUACUUCCUGGGGAAGUCUUUCUCGAUCUCGAACACAAUCACCCCCACACUACACUACUCUGGGCCGCCAUUUUGCAGAACUGCUAAGCUUAUUUUUGUGUUAGUUCCUCCACUGUACUGGGAUUCGCACUUGAUUACCAGAAUGCCUAGCUCAGUGAACCCUGAGUAUGUAUGAUGUUGGGCCAGUGAAUGAAUGAAUGACCCUGCUAGUAAACAAUGGUGCUUUUCCCACGAACCAGGGGCAGGCCCUACCCCAUAGGAGGGCAGCUUAGGAUGGAGUUGAAAGCUUCUGAGAUCCAGACCACCGGACCAGCCAAGAAGGCUGAUUGGCAAGACGGAAUGCCGCAGGUCCCUCUGGUAUCCUGGAUACCAAGAGGGUGGGAAUGUAAACUGGGCCCAGAGACUACAUUCUUGAAAUUUCGAUGCAGCCUUGAAGGAGCCUGAAGGGAAGUGAACCUGACCUUGAAGUUUUUGCCUUUAUUCUCCACCCCCCACUUGAAAAGAAAAAAAAAUCAAGAUAAAGAGUACAAUCAUGCAACACAUUCUUUCUGUGGGGACAUAGAAGCUGGGUCCAAGUCACCCUCCACUGUCCUCUAGGUCCUCUUGCUGGUUGUGGGACAGCAGCCUCAAGAUUCUUUAUCUCUGACCGCCAAGGAGAUAACAGAGGUUCCUAGCGGGUAAUCCCUAAGGACUUGCAGGGACAUUCCCCAACUGAGAUGUUUGGAAGAUGACUGGAAGCAUCGACCGGACCCCCCACUCCACUUGUAUGCAAGGAAUUAUCAUGCCAGUUAGAGGAGGAGUUAGAGCUUAAAGAAUUGCUGUUACCCGGCUCAGGGUGGAAAUGCCGGUGUUUGAACUUGGAUCUCUUGCCUCUAACAACUCUCACGUGUGGACUCUAACCACUGGGUCACCAACCUCUCCCUUUACCUCCAACCUGGCUAGGCAAUAGACAGUUAAUUACUUGUGUCCUUCUGGGCUUCAUGUUCAGUGACUCUCUUCUGUGUAUAAAGCUCGUUGAGGAAGACGGGAUCUGUCUGGUUUUGGCUGAUGAAUAACUGAUAUUUAGAAAAAAUAUAAUCUAAUAGCAGGACUGAAUUCAGCCACAGCUCCAAAGCUUCCCGGGGCGGGGGAAUAAGCUUUUCUUCCUCUGGGAAAAGGGAAGUCUGGGUUGUACGGGACGGAUCACUUUCCUCUCUGGCCUUCUGUUUCCUUAUCUAUUAAGUGAUGGCUUUGACUGUCCGAUGAUUUCAGAGCUGUGUCUUCAGAUGAGAUCUGCACUGAGCUAGGAAUUCCAACCGCUCUUCUGAUUCCUGGUCCCUGAACCUCAGUCCACCUGGGUAUGUGGGUGGUUAGGAUCCCGUUCGUGCGUCUCUACUGUGUGUGAUUACAAAAAGCCUGUCCAGCGUGUGCACGGCAAUACCAGAGACUUGUCUUGUUGCUAUAACUCAAUGAAAGCAAGGAGAAAAGUUUUGCUUGGCUCAGAGAAGGCAAGGCAUGUGAUGGCUGGUCGCAUUGCAUUUGCAUUCAAGAGACAGACAGACAAAUGGACAGGUAGACAGACAGACAGACAGACAGACAGACAGACAGGGUGCCGUUUGUCCUGUCCUUUUGACUCAGUCUUAAGACCCUGGCCCAUGGAAUGACAGCACUCACACCUAGAGUACUGACCACGUAAGGAAAUAACCAACGUAGCCAUGGGAAGAGGUAUGUUUCCAUGGUAAUUCUAAAUUCAAUCAAAUUGGCAAGGAAGAUUAGCCUUUGAAGCAGCUAUCUUUGUUUUUUGUGUUUUCUCAGUCUGGUGAAAGAGUCCAAAAAGUGUUCUCAUGUUCAAGUGCAGCAUUAGCUGGGUAUGGUCCUGCACCCUUCUCAUCCCCGCAGGCCAGGCCACCCGGCUAUGGCUUCAUUUCUAUCCACGUGUGAGAAAAGUAAAGAUGACCACCUCAGACGCCAGUUUCCAAUUAGAAAGAUACUGGCUGUUUGGGGGGGGGGGGCAGAUUUGUUUUAUUAUUUACUUGUAUGUGUAAAUCUGAGUGCACAUAUGUGUUUAUCUGAGUACAAGUAUGUAUUUACCCGAGUACACGUAUGUGUCCAUGUAAGUACAAGCCCUAAGGGGGCCAGAGGAGAGUUCAGAUCUCCUGGAGCUGACAGUUCUGAGCUGGCCGAAAGGUGGGCUGAGAAGGCAGGGUCCUCUGGAAGAGCAGAGCUUGCUCACUGCUGGGGAAUUCCACAGCCCUCAAAUACUAGCCAAUACCCAUUUCACCAGCGUCACUCAGACCUACGUCUGUAAUCUCAGUAUUUGGGAGGCUGAGGCAGGAGAAUACUAAAUUUGGGGUCAGCCUGAGCUCUAUAGUGAGAGCUGUCUAAAAAAAGAAAAGACUUCUGCAGAAAUUAGUAGCUUCUGAAAUCCAGAAUAAUCCAAAAUCCAAACAUUUUUGAACACCAAUACAUGGCGACAAGUUGAAAACGACCCCAUGUGACAGAGAUGGCAUUCGUUGGAAACACCAGGGGUCACUAAAAAUAUCAUAUAAAAUUACCCGCAGGCUACAUAUAUAAGGUAUGCAUGAAACAAAGUUAUGUUUUAUUGGUGUAUAUGUAUGAACGGUGUGGGCGCAUACACGUGGAGGUCAGAGGUAACCUUGUGGGGUUAGUUUUCUCUUUCCACUUUUAUUUGGUUUCUGGGUUUCAAACUCAGGUCACACCAGGUUCGAACCAAAAAUGCCUUUCCCUGUUAAGCCAUAUCGCUUGGCGAAUAAGAGUUUGGGUUUUGUUUGUUUGUUUUUCUCUGAAACAUAGUUACUUUCAUGCUUAGACCUCUAUAAACAGUCUCUAAGAUAAUUCUGGAAUCUGAAACACCUUUGGUCCGGAGAAUUUCAGAAUACAGGAAUCCUUGUGUUAAUCUUGAUUGUGGAGAACCUGUGGUUCCUUGUGUACCAUGGCCACUGAGCUGGAGAAGGACACUGAGCAAAACUUCCCUGAGCUGUGCAGAUUAACCCGAGUGUCAUCCUGAGGAUACAUGCUACACAUUCCUCACACUGGCCGCACAUCAGACACCCCGCAUGUCAGAUAUUCACAAUUCAUAACAGUAGCAAAAUCAAAGUUAUGCAGUAGCCAAAAAAAUUAAUUUUAUGGUUGAGGUCACCACAGCAUGAGGAGCUGCAUUAAAGGGUCACAGCAUUAGGAAGGUUGAGAACCACUGGUCUAAGGAAAGUAACAAUCUCUCCCUCUCUUACCUUUCUGCCCUCCUGCAAGUGUAGCAACCGUCUGGAAACAUUUGAGGUUGUAGAACCACUAGGUUACAUUUAAUGAUUAAAGGCAAGGAAUAAUGAUAAACACCCUACUGUGCAUAGAGCAGCCCUCCACGGCAAAGAAUGAGCGAGCCUGAAGCCUAAUGAUCUCAUGGUGAUGUCCAAGGUUGAAAACCCCUCAGAUACAUGCCAAGCAGCCUCUGUGUAGACCCAUCCAUGAAUGGGUCAGACUUAGCUCCUGCCUGUGUGGCUCUCAUAAAGUCUAGAGGGUGUGACAGAGACUCACGUGAUUGACACAUUCAGUGAAACAAAGAAAUAACAAUGUUGCAAGUACAUGAAGGAAGUAAAUGAUGUCACAUUGGGAAGGAAGUAGGGUCCAAUUAAGAUGGCUAAUUCAGGUAAGAAGGUGACCCUUAGCCUGGGAUCUGAGAGCCCUGGAGUUAACCGUGCAAAACAGUAAGAGGGAAGGUAGCAGGUGGUAUAUGCUUCUAAUCUCAGGACUUCAGAGCCGGUAGGAUGUUGUUAAGUUUCAGACCUGCUUGGGGCUACACAGUGAGACUCAAAGAGAAGUAGAAGGAGCUCUUGUGUAAACACACACACACACACACACACACACACACACACACACACACACACUAUUAUGGGGAAUAGGUUAUAGACACAGAGAGAUUAUGAAUUAGAAAGGACUUUACAAUAUUAAAAAUACUGGGGUAAAACCAGACAUCAGAAAGCAGCAACAGGCAGAUCACAUCUCUGUGAGUUCGAGUCCAGCCUGGUUUGUAUAUCAAGUUCCCGGCCCCUCAGAGCUACGUAGGAUUUUGUGGGGGUGUUCUGAGAAGUAGAGGGGGAGAGCUGGUGCACUGCUAGUUGCAUAGGAAGAGAGAAAACAGCCAGAUGGCUUGGAGGACCUGGCAGGGAGAGGGGUGUCAUUUGAGGUUCAGGAGAACAUUACUUGGUUUAUGGUUUCGCUAAGCAGUUCCUGCUUCGAGCCUAGGGGCCUCUGUGUUGGAGACCUUGUUCUGUCGGUGUGAUGUCUCAGGGCAGCAAGUGACUUGCCUGGUUCUGCUACUUACCAGCUGUGUCACCUUAGGUAAGAUGUAUCACUUCAGCUUCUUCGUCUGUAGAGUGGGAAAAAUGGAAUCCCAUCCGUUGUGGUGGGUGCUAUUUAGGGUUACCUGUAAGGAACAGGGGAUGCAUUUCAUUGUGUAGUUAGCCUAGGUAGCAGACACUAGUACAUUAGCUGAAUCCUUGGUUUUGUUUGGUUUUGUCUUUCAAAAUAGGGUUUAUCCCUGUAGCCCUGGCUAUCCUGGAACUAUAGCUGGUCUCUGUAGACCAGCUUGGUCUUGAACUCACAGAGACAGAUGUAUCUGCCUCUGCUUCCAAUGCUCUGGCAUUGAAGGCAUGCACCACCAGCCCAGUGAAGUCCCCCCAUGCUCCCAUGCUGGGCAUGGAGCCUAGGGCCUUGUCUGUCCUAUAACUAUAUCCCCAAGCUAGAUUCUCCUUGUUUUUAGACUUUGUUAUUAUUAACUCAACUCAUUCAUUUCAAACUCACAGGUAGGUGGCUUAGUGUAUUCGCAGAGUUCUGCAACCAUCAUCAUUUUUUUUAAAUGUAAAGACAGUUUAUUGAGAAAGGGAAAGUACUCUCCCCCCCCCCCCGCCCCUGGAGCUGGGGACCGAACCCAGGGCCUUGCGCUUCCUAGACAAGCGCUCUACCACUGAGCUAAAUCCCCAACCCCAUCAUUUUUUAAGGAUGUUUUCAUCACCCGUUGAAGCCUGUAUCCCUUAGUUUUCAUUUCUACCUUCUGCCCAACCCUGGGCGAGGGAUAACCUGCUGUCUGUCACCAGAAAUUUCCUAUUCCGAACUUUCCCCUUUCUUUCUUUAAAAAGCCCAUUUGAAUGUAUUUAUGUUUUUUUAGUAUUAUUCUCUUUCUUGUUUCAAGGUAUGGGUAGUAAUAUGUGUUCCCACAUGUGUGUGUUCAUGUGUGUGCAUGUGGAGGCUAGAAGGACUUUAUCACUCUCCAACUUAAGUUUAUUUGUGUGUGUGUGUGUGUGUGUGUGUGUGUGUGUGUGUGUAGGCAUGCACAUGCCAUGGCACACGUGUAGAUGAUGUCAGAGGACAAAUGUCGAGAGUCACUUCUCUCCCUAUGCAGCCUCUGGGGAUUUAAUUUAGGUUUAUACAGCAAGCACUUUUAUAUUCUGAGCCAUCGCGAUGACCUUCUCAGAAAUAGUUAUUUAUUUUAUAUGUAUGAGUAUUUUCCCUGCACGUAUGCUUGGAUUCCCCUGGGGAGUUACAGACUGUCAUGAGUCACUGUGUGGGUGCUGGGAACUGAACCUUUGCAAGAGUAGUGAGUGUUCUUAACCACUGAAGACAUCUCCCCAGGCCCGGAUGACCUUACAUUUUUAAGUCUCUCACUAACCUAGAGCUCACACAGUCGUUAGCUUGGCUGGCCAGCAAGAGCCCAGGAUCCUUCCUUACCCCCCCCCCAUUUCUGGAAUUAUAGGGACACACUGCCUCACCCAGCAGUUGACUUUCUGCCUGGGUCCUAGGGAUCCAGCAGAGGUCUUCAGAAAUACGGCAAGCAUCUACCCACCGAGCCAUGUCUCCAGCCCUCUGAUUUUGAGUCAGGGCCUUGCAGUAUAGCAAGAUAUUCUGGUAUUCACUAUGUAACUGUACUGGCUGGUUUUGUGUGUCAACUUGACACACGCUGGGGUUAUCACAGAAAAAGGAGCCUCAUUUGUGGAAAUGCCUUCAUGAGACUCAGCUGUAAGGCAUUCUCUCAGUUAGUGAUCAAAGAGGGAGAACCCAGCCCACUGUGGGUGGUGCCGUCCCUGGGCUGGUGGUCUUGGGUUCUCUAAGAGAGCAAGCUGAGCAAGCCAGGAGAAGCAAGCCAGUAAGUAACAUCCCUCCAUGGCCUCUGCAUCAGCUCCUGCUCCCUGACCUGCUUGAGUUCCAGUCCUGACUUCCUUUAGUGAUGAACAGCAAUGUGGAAGUGUAAGCUGAAUGAACCCUUUCCUCCCCAACUUGCUUCUUGGCCAUGAUGUUUGUGCAGGAAUAGAAACCCUGACUAAGACAGUUACCUAGGCAGGUUUCAAGUUCAUAGCAAUUUUGCCUCUGGCUCCCAAUCACUGUAAUUAUGGGUGUGAGCCACUGUCUUAGUUAGGGUUUUGCUGCUGUGAACAGAUACCAUGACCAAUGCAAGUCUUAUAAAAGACAACGUUUAAUUGGGACUGGCUUACAGGUUCAGAGGUUCAGUGCAGUAUCAUCAAGGCAGGAACAUGGCAGCAUCCAGGCAGGCAUGGUGCAGGAGGAGCUGAGAGAGCUACAUCUUCAUCUGAGGCUGCUAGUGGAAGACUGACUUUCAGGCAGCUAAGAUGAGGGUCUUAAGCCCACGACCACAAUGACACAGCUAUUCUAACAGGGUCACACCUCCUAAUAGUGCCACUCCCGGAGCCAAGCAUAUACAAACCAUAACAGCCACCAUAUAUGCCUCAUUUAUUUAUGAGUAGAAUCAUACAAACUAUGCCUCGUCAUUUUUAGUUAGCAAAAUGACUUAAUGUUUUUAUUCAUAACGUUUUAAAGUUAGCAUAACUUUUAUCAUGUAGCAUUCUUUUUCUAAUUUUUUUAAAAAAAUUUCAUGUAUUUUUUGUGUGUGUCUAUGUGAGGGUAUCAGAUUCCUUAGAACUGGAGUUACAGACAGGUGUGAGCCGCCAUGUGGGUGCUGGGAAUUGAACCUGGGUCCUCUGGAAGAGUAGCCGGUGCUCUUAACCUCUGAGCCAUCUCUUAAGGCCUGAUGUAGCAUUCUUUUUACUACUAAAUAAUAUUCCAUUGUAUGGUGGUGGCACUGCUUAACUAACUACUUACCAGUUUUUAGCUACUUGGAUGUGAAAUAACACUUCAGUGGGCUCAUAUGUUUUUGUUCCCUUGAUAUGCUUCAUGUACUCUCUCUCCUUCCCCCUUUCUCUUUUCAUGGCCCCAGAUAAUCUUGACCUAUGGUAAUCCUGCCUCAGUCUUCCGAGUGCUGGGAUUACAGGCAUGUACCAUCACAUUCAGGUACUCUAUUCUUGUUACACUGAGGCCAGAAAAGUUCAGUUCCGGCCCAGGACCACAGGACUUGUAAGUGAUGACUGUGAUUAGGAGUCCAGCAUCCCGGCUCAGCCUGUGCUCUUCUUCUGACUGUCCCCCUGAGUACUUUCCACCCAGCAGCCACCAUGCCAGGAACCAGGGACAUCAGAGCAGACAUGCCCUACCCGACUGAACUUGUAGGGUGACCACAUGCAGGACUCAAAGUCAACUAACCAAGUUAAGGGUCAGAGUGGAGGACAACAGUCCUUUAUUCCCAGCACUCAGGAGGCAGAGGCAGGUGGAUCUCUGUGAGUACCGGGCCAGCCUGGUCUGCAAAGUGAGUUCCAGGAUAGCCAAGGCUACACAAGAAACCCUGUCUCAAACAAAAUAAACCAAAACAAACAAACAAAAAAAAGGCCGUGGAGGUGGGGUGGGGUGCAGGUGGGGCCCAGGGUUUGUCAUCAUCCAAUAAGACAGGGAUGGAGGCCUCCAGGAGAGGAAGUGCUUGUCGUAAGAUCUGUAGGAUCCCUGUUACUCAGGCAGAGAUGAAGGGAAGGAAAACAGCCACCUCAGGGGGGUCGGGGUGGGAGUUGGGAGAAAGGCUGGCUGGCAGAUGCCCUCUGAGAGCCAAACCCUUGCCUCUUCCCUGGCUGAGGCACAGGCCGGCUGAGAAAAGGUUCUCCAGCUCAGGCUCCAGAACACGUCUGACUGUCAGGCCUUGCCAGCUUCUGUCAGAAAAGCACAGGUUUUUGAUCCCCCCCCUCCUCUCAUCUUUAACAUCAAAAGGCUGGUGUGCCUCAGAUCAGAACCGGGCUGCCUCUUUUCAUCUUCCGCCCUCUGGGCACUUGGUCUUUCAAAUGGUGGAGAUCUGCUCCCGUUCAGAGGGAUUGCGGGGGUCUUUUGCUGUAUUAAAAAAAAAAGAAAGAAAAAGAAAAAAAAGCAGAUUUGAGAAAAAGGUUUCAGUCUCCAGAUGCACAACUGCCAAGUGUUUGGAGCAAACAGUCCUUCCUUAUCCCCGUCUGAGUCAUGUAGAAGACCUGGUGUCCAUUCAAAGAUCGGUAGAACGAAGCCCCACUCCCAGCCAUAAAACCCAUCCUUAUCCCCUGUAUCACAGGUCCACAGCAGGCACAGAGACUGUGACCACAUGUCCCCCAUACUGCUCUCGCUCCAGCACCAGGGUCAGAGCACAGCCUGCCAUGUACAGAUAUUUGAGGUGCAGUGUAGAACACUGGGUUAGGGUGCUUCGGCAGACAGGAAGAUGACCUCAGGGUGGGCAACCCCAGUUUGGGAAAAUGGGGAGUUGUGCUGGGACUUUUGGAACAAUGUCCAGGUGCAGGAGGAGUCACCGAGGCUCCUAAGCGGUUAGCAGCAUUGAUUCUGAGUUGUGGGCAGCAGAGAGAGAGAGAGAGAGAGAGAGAGAGAGAGAGAGAGAGAGAGAGAGAGAGGGAGGGAGGGAGGGAGGGAGGGAGAGGGAGAGGGAGAGGGAGGGAGAGAGACAGAGAGAGAGAGAGAGAGAGAGAGAGAGAGAGAGAGGCAGAGAGAGAGAGAGAGACAGACAGACAGACAGACAGAGAACGGACAACCAGCCCCGGGUAGGCGGACACUCUAGAAGCUGUUGGAAUGGAACAGAAGAGGGAUAGUGGAAGGUCCAGCUAUUGGGUAGACAGCGGACCCCAAGCAGCUGUGUUUUGAACUCAGGCAGAUCCAGGUUACCUAUUGCACACCGUGGGUGAAUCAAGGGAAUGUGGGACAUGAGCCCCAUCUAGGAGUUCACUCAAAAGAAGCAUACCCAGGAGCUGUAAGCAACGGCUUUGGGUGUAGGGUUGAAUGUGCCCUGAGACUCCUGUAGGUUUUGAAGAGGCCCCAGAGGAGCGUAGGACAGAGAAAAGCAAAGCUAACAAAUCUGGAGCAGGCUCCCAGCCUGCAGAAGACGGAUGCAGAGGCAUCGAGACAGAGAGGAACUCGAUGGAACAUAUUGUGUGACAUAAGAGGUUUCAUGGAGGGAAAGUCUCCCCUAGGAGUAAGUGAGGGGAAACCUCAGAGGACCAAACAGAGAAACCAUCCCAGGUUCCUUCUCUCUUUACAAAGGUUUGUUUAUUUUUGUCUUAUGUGUGUGAAGUUUGUCUGCAUGUAUGUAUGUACACCAGAUGAGUUCCUGGUACCUCUGGAGACCAUAUCAAUCUCCCAGAACCGAAACCACAGAUGUCUGUGAGCCACCAGGUGUGUACUGGGAACCGAGCCUGGGUCUUCUGCAAGAGUUCAUAGCUCUCCAAACCGCCGAGCCAUCCUCCCACCCUCACUCCCCUUCAUAGAUUUUUCCAUGAUAAAGUGCUGAGGGCUCACACUGGGCACGGCUGAGAGCCAAGGGUAGGACCUCUAAGCGUUUCCACCCUUAGGGUGACGGGGCUUGACCACAUAUCCGUUGCCAGUAUUGAUGUCAGCACCGGGCAGUGAGCAAGGGGUAUUUCCGAUUCUAGAGUUAAGUGACUUCUUUCUGCCAUUGCCUUCCCAGAACAUUUACAAAAAGCUUGGGGUUCUUAUUCUGGGACAACCACCCCACGCACCCCCACUCAGAACGUACCUGGCUUUCCACCCCCAACCAACUGUUAUGGUUUUGAAAGUCAUAAGGUCCCUUGUUUUCAAGGGAUGAAUGAAGGGAACCUCAUCUUGAUCGGAUGUUGCUGCGUGCCUGCCGUUGAACAUUCGUGACGGCCUGGCUGAUUCAAGGGUUAACCAUGAAGCAGGCUCUGUGCUAACUAUGUCCCCACUUUCCUAUAUCCUUUCAUAACAAACACAGCUAUCACCCAUUUUACAGAUGAGGAUUACUGAGCCUCACAGAGCUCAGGCCUUCUUGACUCUAGGACAUCUCUGCCUCCACAGCUUGUCAGCAGCAGCGUGAACUCACGGGAGUUGCUGACUUACACUUCAGGGGUUGAACGCUUACUUCUACAGGCAUUACUUCCUGGUUCUCAGGGGCUUAGUCCUCUUAGAGCUCCCCCCUGCCCCCUGUCAUUCAUGGAUGGAAUUUCUUAAUAGUUAAUGCUCUGCUUCCUUGCUUAGUAAGGCAUUAAAGAACCCUGCUCAUUCUGGUCCUCCCCACCCCCUGUAACUAACUCCUGGCUCUUAGACAACACAGGAGAGAGCGGCUCAUGAGGUAAGGCCCGUCCUUCUGCCCAUUUAAACAGGAACUAGUCUGAGACUUCCUUACCAUCUAGAUUGGCCAGAGUAGGGCAGUGGUGGCUAUGUACUGAUUGGUUUCCUCUUAGACCUUUUCCGUGACAGCAAAGGAGGUCGAUGCACUAAGUAUCUUAAGGUAGCUUUGCAUCUAGCUUUGACAAAAAAAAUCACAUUGGUCUGAAAAAUGCAUCAGUCUGCAAAACCUGAGUCGUCUUCCCUAAGCUUGAGGCAGGUGUGUAAUCCAAGGGGAAGAAUGGUUGGCUAAAACUGGAUUGAAGCUGAGUAUAACAGGGGUAUGUCUAUAAUGCCAGCAUUCCAGGGGCUGAGGUAGGAAGAUCUUGAGUUCAAGGCCAGCUUGGGCUUUCAUACCAAGACUCUGUCUCUAAACAGACAAUAAAGUCUGGGUUCAACCAAGACAGAAUACAUGAAGCAAGGCACAAAAGGCACGCCAGUCACCCUAAUCUGUCUCAUCAUGCUUUUUACAUACACACACUGGUAUCAGAUAGCAUCCAGUGAGUUUGCGUAAUCACUAUGUGUCAAAUAAAGUCCCAAAGGGAGGAAACUGUGAACGAGGGGGAAAUUCUAGAAUCUAUCCCGAGAGCUCUCAGCAAUGGGUUAAGAGGCCUUGAUGGGCUACUUCUAUUUGAACCUCAGUUUUCUCACCUGCAAGUUGCGAGAGUGACUUUGGUCCCACAGCAUUGGCUUUUGGGUCAGGGUGACAUAGCAGGUGGAAUGAGCGCUCCUGUGUGAUGCUCAGGCAGGGGGAGUCUGUGUGGUACAGAGCUUCCUCGCCUCUGAGAGCUGAGGCCUCUGAUAAAAGUUGGGUGUGAAAGCCCAUCAAAUGGGAAGCUGUGAGCAUCCAGAGUGGGGGCGGGGAGAAUUCGCUCUAGCCGUAGCAGGUGUCUUCCAUAGCAAAAACCAAGACAAGGACUCGUUUAGAAGAAGAACAGCUACAGUGUUUAAGCAAAUCUUGAAGUAAAAGGGGCUGAUUCGUCCAUUAUUUUGAAAAGCUAAGUACGUGAAGAUGUGUGCUUGGCGUUUACGGUACAUGUCUCCUCGUGGUGGAAUACUUUAUGAGAAGCAUGUAAGGCAGUUUCGUCAUUGUGUGAAGGUCACAGCAUGCUCUCAUACCGAGAUAGUCUGUCACUUGACAUGGUCUCUUGCAUCCAAUCGUCACUGUGGAGUUUAGGCGAGGCUGCUGCCCUUAGGGCGUGGUCUACUGAUUUGCAGUAAAUUUUCUUAUUCAAAAAGUAGAGUGCACACACUCUAUGAUAGCAGAACGGCAGUGCAGCAAUUACACAGCCAGCAAUACUUGUUUACUGUCAUGACCAAACAUGGUACCCCACAGACACCUGAGUAGUGCGUUACUCUGCCCUAUGUGAUGGCUGCAAGGCCCCCUGUGUAGGAAUGCUUCAGCCCUGUUACCGUCUCAUGGGUCGAGUCCUUCACACACUGUAGCCUUGUUACACGGCACAUGACCAUGUUUAACAAAACUAAAGUGACAGUUGUAGCUGUGCCCUGACUAUGAGUAUGGGCCAGGGCCGUGUUUAUUGACUGCAUAAUUAUUUUGACACAAGACCAAAACCUGACAGUGCUCCUCAUUUGGCUUGGAGCAGCUCAUAAGGGAAGCCUACUUUCUUUUGCAAAAUAUUAGAAGGAACCACUCACCUUUUACGUUAGCUCUUAUGAUCCUUUAGUGUCACUGAAGUCCUUCCGUUUGCAAGGACCAUCUCAAAUCUGGUAGCUUCACCUCCCUGACUGUUGCUACACCUUUCCUCGGAUGUGAUUGGAGUAGACCUUCAAGUCACGUCCAGCAACUUUGUGAAACCCAGAGUCUCCAAGUACAGGUGUCGUACACCAUACUUAGACUGCAUAGUAAGGUGGGAGACAUCUGACCAAGCCAUGUGGGUUUCGACUGGCACUGCUGAUGAUGUCAGAUGAGGAGCGAUGCUUGAACAGACGCUGGUAAACAUUCAUAUUUUGAUGACUCCGCAUCACCAAGUAAUCUUCUAAGUACAAGAAAGCAAAUAUCCUGUUUCCGAGUCCCCCGGGAUGAAAACAGCCUGCUAUUUAUACAAUCUCAGUAGCCCCUGAUAAGACGGGUCUCAAUUUCCCCCACUUGUAUAAAGGGGAUAGUGUUAUUCACUAACUCAGAGAGUUUCCAUGAAGGAUCUGUGAAAGAAUUGCAGUAAAGGACGCCACCUGGUUCGCAUGGCACACUUCCCAAGGAUGCUAAAUAUGAUUAUUCCAGAUUUUACCUUCUUAUUUUGUUAUUUUUUUGGUUUUUCAAGACAGGGUUUCUCCGUGUAGCCUUGACUGUCUAGGAACUCACUCUGUAGACCAGGCUGGCCUCACACUUAAAGAUCUGCUUGCCUCUGCUUCCUGAGUGCUGGGAUUAAAGAUGCGGGCCACCCCCGCCCGGCUAUUCCUGAUUUAAGACAACAGCAAAAAGCUCAUCCAUGGCCCAGCUUUUCUGCGAUGGUGGAGUCCGUGAGUUCUUUGGUAAUUUACACCCAAGACCAAGAUCUACAGCAGGUAGAAGAGAUUGAAGACCGUGCUACAGCCAGAACUAGAGUAGUAUUACCAACGGGCUUUGUGUGCGUGUGUGCUGAGAGACCCUGUCUCUUAAGAGAACCAGGUGGAUGAUGAGGAAACCUGCCAGGUGUGUUGGGUGCUGCAGCCCUGGCUGUCUUGCUACUUGCUCCCACUAUUCCUGAUGUUAAUUAGGACCCUCGUGUCUGAUAUAAAAAGAAGGGCGUGGGGAAGGGCGGGCUCUUUCAAGCAGGUUAUCUUAAGAGUCUGUAUUUUGCAGGCAGAAAAAGGAGGUAAUAAGAUAAUUACACACCCCCCUGCACAUAGUAGGCACCCCUGAAAUGCUUACGGGGAGCUCGAAUGCAGGGAGAGCGUCUGUUGUGUCUGAAUACCUCCUCGUUGGCUCUUUUGAGCUGAGGAAUUCCAGCAAGCCACUUUUGGGAAAAAAGUAUCUGUCCAAAGAAUUAGCAUUAGUUAAAAAGUAAAAACUAGGGACCUCCCAGGGCUUGUGCUGUCUCAGAGAGACUGUUUCGUAAACGGGUGGUGGUUUAGAAGUGAUUUUCAGCCGUGCCCUAUUUUGUAAUGUGACACAGACACUUGGUUCUAUGUAUUUGAGGCGUGUCACUUGGCUCCUGUGUCUCACCCAACCUCCUAGGGUUUUCUGCCUCUUGGACACAGGAGCACCAGGCAGACAUUCUAAAGAUAGCUUGAGUCUCCGGGACCAGGCAGGUCAGGAAAAGCUGAGCAGAGUAAGACGGGACAUGGCUCCUCCUUUGACAGCCUGGGUUCCUCCUGCCCACAGGAAACUCAUCAAAGUCUUUGACGCUGGCUGGACUUGCUGGACUCCUCCUGGAAUAGGGGAGCUGGGUACCUUUGAAACCACCUCCAGGCAUUGACCGAACCCUGCCCACUGAGCAUAGAGGAUCGAUCCUCCCUGGAGGAUCUGGUCCAGGACAGGGUCUGUCCAGGUCAGCUCAUUGCUGUUCAAGACAGUCGGAGUUCUUCAGUGAGUAAGGUCACUGCCCCUCUGAGCCAAUCCCAGGAGGGACGGCUUUCAUGAUGAUUAAUAUCGGCUUGACAGAAUUUAGGAUCACCUAGGAUAUACGCCUCUGGCUCUCUAUGGAGACUUAUUUAGAUAGGGCUCAUUGAGUAGGAGACCCACUUUAACCGUGGGGUCCUGAACUAAAUAAAAGGUUAAAGCACAUUGGACACUAGCUUCUUCUUCAUGACUACAGUGUGACUGGCUCCCUUCAGCUCCAGCCACCUUGCUACCAUAACGGACCCUCGAAGUGUAAGCCUAGGUAAACCCUUCCUCCAUUAAGUUGCUUUUGUCCGAGUACCUUGUCAGGGAAAUGUGUAAAGUAGGGAAUACAGGGCUCCUCCAUGGCUGCUCAGUUAACCCAGCAGACAAGGAGAGGUCCACACUCCAGUGUCCCCCAACCCCAUUCAACCACAGUGGAAGAUGCAGCUCCGGGCCCUAGCAUCUUCUUGUACCUCUCUGAUAUGCUCGUGAGAGGGAGGAGGCUUGCUCAUCCCCUUGGGACCUGUCUUUGGGUCUCCCACUGAAGAAGCACCAUACCCCCCUCCUUUACCUUUCUAUCAGCAGCACCCUCAACCCCCAUUCCCCCUCCCAGCACUUUUGGUGUCAGCCCAGGGCUGUUUUGGGAAAUCUGAUGACUGCUGUGCUGUUUGCUUUUCGUUCUCCAAGACAGAGUUUCACCCUGUAGAUCAGACUGGCCUGAGAUUUGCUAUGCAGGCCAGUUUCAACCUCCCCAUGCUGGGGUUACAGGCACAUACCAGUAUACCGCGUAUACCUGUUAUCCUUAUUAUAGAUCAAGAAUAAUUCCAGCCACCGUCCAGUGAGGACGCCGCAGUGGCACAGUCUUGAUCCCCACCUUUGUGGUGACCGUCAUCCCCAGGGAGACUUUAAAGCAUUGAGAAGAGCUCGAGAGGCAGACAGAAGGACUACGGGCAUCUGGAGGUGAUUUUAGGCAUCCACUGGGGAUCUUGGAAUGUGUCUCCCAUGGGUAAGAGGCUAUCACUGUGACUCUACAAGGUCCUCAGACCGUUGAAUCCUCUUCUGCUAUGGGACCCACAGCAUUUCAGAAGCUACCUGAUGAUUCACACCCUGGCUCUGCCCUGUUCCAGCUGGGGUGCCCCGUGAACCUACAAGGUGGAGAACAGUCAGUUGUGAAGAGUGUCUUCUCACGGGGUUGCUGUCGAGUUAGCGUGUAUAGUGACCCUGGUGACGCUGGACAAGGAGGAGCCUCUGCUGUCACCGUUUGACUAAUCAAGUGAAGUUGCCAUCCCACGAGUCAUUGGCUGAACUGAAACUUGUCCCCACACCUUCAUGUUCCGAAGCCUAUGUUCUUUCCGCUCCGCCGGCAUCCUCCAUGGCUCUGAGACAUGGGUCCAGGAGGGACUUAGGAUAUGCUUUUCACCCUGAUGCUUCUUAUCUUUGACCUCCUGGACUAUGCACACAUUUACAUGCACGUACACACACGCCUGCAAACACACACACACACACACACACACACACACACCUUUUUCUGAGAGACCCUUUGACCAGCCUCAUUCUUUCCAGACCUUCUGUUCUUAUGAUGUCCUGAGGUAAUCUUGCCUUUUGCAAAUGAAGGUUUCUAAAUAAAGAGACAAGAUGUCACUGUGAGCAAACAGCAACAGCCUGCAGUCCUGACUACUGCAGAGCUGCUCCCCAGGACGCCAACACUGCUCCCCUUCACGCAAGCGAAAGAGCCCGGCAUCCUUUGCGUAAGGCAGAUGUUCGAGGCCCGUUCAUUGGUGCUUUCCAGCUCGCUGGGGGUGAUGGAGAGAGCUUUAGGUGUGAGGAGUUCUAUGUAACAGCCCCAGGAGUGAAGCGGUGUGCUUCAUGCCCCCCCCCAAACACUGUAGCAAUGAACUGCUGGCUCUACCAGUGCGAGACUCAGGGACUCGAGAAGAAAGAGAAGGGAUAGCUCCUAAAACCUAGGACUCCCUCUUGGAGAGGAGUACACACACGUCUUCUAUUGUCUUGCCAACCCGUAUCUCUGAGCGGGCAUGAGCUCCAUGCCAGGACUUAGGCUGGAUCCCACUAAGGCUGUGGUGAAAUGUCAGUGUGGCUCUAAUAGAAAGACAGUCAAUAUAACAAUAAACAAGAUGACAGACAGUCAAGGGAACGGAGAGGCCUGCUUAGGGCUGCCUAGAAAGGCCCCUUGGGAAGGACAUUUAGGCUAUGAGCUGAAGGAGAGAAGGAGAUGGUCUUACAAGAGGUGGGUGAGUAUGUGGACAGGUCACAGCAGCAGCCGGUGCAUGGAGACCUGUGCGAGCAAAGGCCGUGAGUUAGGAAUGUGCUUACUGCAGCCUGAGAAGGCUUGGGCAGGGAGGUUGCUCAGGCUGCAGCAAGGGGUCGGCGUUUCAUCUAGUCAGGAAGACAUGGAAGGGUGAAAUCGAGGUAAUGACACAGUAGAGUAGUUAUUACACGUUCGUGCUCUUCUUCAUGGUGGAGGGGGUAGGGAGAGCGAACAGGAUGGAGGGAUCUGGAAAGGCCAACAGCUAGGGAAGGGAGGAGAGGCCUUUGGAGUGUGGGGAGAGAGAUGUCAAAGGUGCCCUUGGAGGUAAGACCCUGUGGGAACAACAUAGGAGGCUUUUGAGAAUCCAUUGGGUAACAGUCCGGUGAGGCCUAGAAAAGGAAGCACAGGAGUUGUUUCCCCAUCCCUGCAGGGUAGGGGAGGGAGGGAGGGCAGAAGAAACAGGAGCAGAGGAAGAAUGUGGUCCUCUACACGGUCACUGUAUCCAAAAUUCCUUCUUUCCCACUGUGAAAUCGUGCUUGUGAUCUGCCUUAGGCCUGAUACAUUGUGGCGAGCAUCCUCUUAGGAGGCCUCCCGGAGAGAAAGUAAUGUGCAUUGCUCUUUUCAGGGCUCACGCUGUAGGCAAAGGGUCUGACCCAAGCUGGCGAGGUAGAGCCCUGUGGUCCCAAAGCCCUUGUCUGUCCUCUUGCUCUCUGGGCUCCUGUGUGUCAUUGCUGUCUAGGAGAAGAGGCCAGGGAUAUCAGUGUCAGAUAUGGGUCACCCAAGUCAGCCGGGCAGCACGAGCUCCCUGGCCCACACCUUGUUCUAGUCCAAGGAUCCCAUGCCGUGAUAGAAUCAGCCUCGCCUCCAAUGUAAUUGACACCUACAUCCAGUCUACUGGAUCCUUUCCACCGUCUACAUCCCCCUUCCCGAAAGACUCAUGAGCACAGCCAUCCAAGAGCUGCAGAGGCAGGUGCCAGGAUGGUUUUGUUUCUUCAGGAGGAUGAUCCUGUUGACAAAAGUGAAACAGGAGGACAGACAGAACUAGGGGCCAGCCACUCCCUGGGGAAGGAGAAUUGGCCCGAGUCACACCUCUCUAGUUACCAAGUGGGAAUGAGGGGAGGGGCUCUUUGGAAUACUUCACGGGGGAGGGGACUGAGCAGUGGAGCCAGGGUGCAAAUGGCCCACAUCCAACCCUGGCACAAGGUAGGCUCCCAGGAACCUUGUCCUAUAGAGCGUCUCUGGAUGUCCCUUGGCCGUCUGUCAGAUGGAGUUAAAAUACUGAGGAGCGUCAUGUGGCUGCCAUGAUGGUUAUUUAAGAAUCAAACUGUGGUGGAAGACAGACUGGAAGCCAGACAUACUGCGGGCCCUCACGGUGUUUCUGUAACCACAGACUUUCCUUUGUUAGGGCAAGCAAGGCUACCUGAGAGCGCUGGCGGGAGUCCAGUGAGAUGUCUCUCACUUUCUUUGAGAUGUCAUUUGUUCCCUCAAUGACCGCUCACUCAGAUCGGAUGCUGAGGAUGUGGUAGUUAUGAAGAAUCUUCUCGUGCCCAUGGGACUCCUGGAGCUAACAGCAUAUGGGCAGAUAAUAAAAGUAAACACGUUGUAAAGAAAUCAUUUUCCAACCCCAGGGAAACAGGUGUCCGGGGAAAGAUGCGACAGAGAUGCGGGGAAAGGUGUGGGCAGGAAGAACAGCGAGGACAAAGCAAGUGGAAUGUUGUCAUGGGCUGCAGUGACAUCCUGAGUGGUGCCCAGAGUCACCAUGAUUCAGGGGGCUGAUUGGUUUGGGGGAGCAGGUACAGGUGUUCUGAUUAUCAAGUAUUUCUAACCAAGACCUCACCAAUUACUUUUGUGAACUGCUGACCAGAUCUUUGUCAGCUGCUUGACCCCCAGAAUAAUCCAGGCUGCCCUCAGUAGGCAGUGCUCAUCCAGUGCUCUCCUAGCAGGACCAAACUGUUUGUGAUCCGGGGCCGUAGCUGUUGGUUUCUUUCUAUGUUCUUUAUACGCAGGUGUCUGAGAGAGAAGUAUGCAGAUAUGAUUCCCAGGUUUCCUCAGGGCCUCUCUCAUCACCUGCUAGGUAGCUUCUCAGGCUAGUACCCGUGGGGGUUGCAGGCUGCAGGGUAAAAAGCAGGAGGCUACACCAGGGUUCACCCUGCCUGGUGGCCCACGUCUCAGUACCACCCCAUAGCUACUAUUGAUGUUGUAUUUCUUUCUUUCUUUAAAAGAAAGAAAAGGGUUGGAGAGAUGGCUCAGCGGUUAAGAGCACUGACUGCUCUUCCAAAGGUCCUGAGUUCAAAUCCCAGCAACCACAUGGUGACUCACAACCAUCUAUAAUGAGAUCUGAUGCCCUCUUCUGGUGUGUCUGAAGACAGCUACAAUGUACUUAUACAUAAUAAAUGUUUAAAAAAAGAAAGAAACGCUUAUUUCCUGGUGGUUUCAUGAGUUACUGUUUAUUGCUGUAAGAAAAACACCAUGACUGGGGCGCUGGGGAUUUAGCUCAGUGGUAGAGCGCUUACCUAGGAAGCGCAAGGCCCUGGGUUCGGUCCCCAGCUCCGAAAAAAAAAGGACCAAAAAAAAAAAAAAAAAAAAAAAAAAAAGAAAGAAAGAAAGAAAAAAGAAAAAAGAAAAACACCAUGACCAAAAGCAGUUUAUGGAAGAAAAGGUUUAUUUUGGCUUAUGGUUCUAGGGAGAAGCCAUAAUGGCGUGGGAGACGAUAGGCUUCUGGAGCACAGAGCUGAGAGAUCACAUCUCAGCCGCAGCAAACAGGAAGCAGAGAGCUAAACUAGAAGUGGGGCCAGUCCAUAAACCCUCAAAGCCCACCCCCUCAGUGACUUCCUCCAGCAAGGCUCCCCAAACAGCGCCCCCAGCUUCAGACCAAGUACACUUUUGAUAGCAGAAGUGUUUCAGAUUUCAGAUUUUUGUGGAUUUGGAAAUAUCUGUGUAUGUAUUAAUGAGCACUACUCUUAGGAACAAGACCCAAGCGCAAAUAUGAAAUUCAUUUGUUUCCUGUGUACUUUACAUGUGCAGGCAGAGCAGAACCUUGCAACGGUACUUUUAGCAUAACCCCCUUCAAACCCUGCUAGCCACGUGAGGUCAUGGGUAGAUUUUUCAAUGUUUGUCAUUCUGUUAAUGGUCAAGAAGUUUCGGCCAUGUGUGUAAUCCUACACAUUGGGGAGACUGAGGCACGGUCAUAGGGACCUUCCAAGGAUCGCCUGGGUUAUGGAUAGCAAGCCCUGUUGCAGUAGAAAGGAAGAAAAAAAGCUUCAGAUUCGGGUUUACUUCCAACUUCUUCUUUUUUUUUUUUUUUUCUUUUUUUUCUAUUCUUUUUUUCGGAGCUGGGGAUCGAACCCAGGGCCUUGUGCUUGCUAGGCAAGCGCUCUACCACUGAGCCAAAUCCCCAACCCCUACUUCCAACUUCUUAAUUAGGGGUAUCUUUUGUGAAAGAAAAGGAGAGUCUGUUUUGGAAUGAAUUUUUUAAUUCGUGUGGAUGUGCGCGCGCACACGCGCAUGCGCUUGUUUUGGAAAUUGAACCCGGGCUAUACGCAUGCUCAGUGAGUGGUCCACCCCCUGAGCCCACCUCCAGGGCCCAGGAGCUCGCUGCUGCACAGUGACAAGCCACAGCUGCAUCCACCUUCAAUACAAGGGAAGUUCUUUGGAACCUGUCCCUGCUAGAUCCUUUUCUGACAUUUGUUCGCUUGGUCGCAGAUAGUGACAGCUGCUCCUAGAUUGCUUUCUGAGAAUGAGCGUCUCCUUCCGGUUACCAAAUGUACUUUCCCACCCUUCCUGUCUCCUUCAGCCAACUAACUACCUUCUCGGCAAAAGUAACCCCUUAAUUUUUCCCUCUAUCCAGACAUUAUAAAGGGAGGCUUCUUCUGGAAAUGACUUCUAAUUAUAUGGUAUUUUACAAAUCCUCUCCUUCUGGUCACCCAGUUUUAUCGAAUCAGCUGUUCCAUUCAUUUUCUGAGCAGCGGUAAAGACCCACAUUCAAAUCUGCAGUCCAUCUCUGAAUAGCCAAGUGACCUCAAUCACUCUAACACGGCCAUGUGGACCAGGGCAGUGUAAAAGGAACAUGUAGCCAAGACUACAGGAAGAACUUCACAGCACAGCACGUAGAAAGCCCUGAGCCUCUGCUAGGCUGCUCUCGUGUCCCCAAGGAGAAAGAAACAUUGCAGCUAACUCUUGGUGACUGUUAUGACAAAAUGACACCAUGAAUACCUGUCCUGGAAGGAAUGACUGGACCAAAAGUCUUGUAGGGGAAUACAAUGCCACUCCUGUCACUAGUAAGAAGGGAGGAGUGAUUGAGACUUUAAUGUCCAGACCCUAGGUGGUCUCACAAAAGGCUCCUUGGUGCUAUCUGCCACACUCAAGGGAUCUCAGAAGGGACACUGGGGAUCAUCUUGUCUGUGUCCUACCCACAUCAAUCCGAGCUGGAAGCUCACGGAAUAUCAGGAAUACUACGUGGUCUCUCCUGUGCAUGCGUGAUCAACACAGCCAUUGUAUCCGUGUGCGUGUGUCUCCCUCGUUCUUUCCCUCGCUCUUCCUAGGACAAUUGGAAAUUCAGACCUUCUCUCCUGGCACCGUUGCUAAAGGCGUCUGCCAACUGUGUGCAGGCUCCUUUUCCAUGUGGCUCGCCAUCUGGAAUGGCGUCCCAGUGGUGGCGUGCCUGUGUGUGUAUACGUGCACUCAUGAGCGCACAGACUGGGGUAUUGUGUUCCUUGUCUGUGCUUGAGCGGCUGAAUGAACAGGAAAGAGCAAGCGCCCACGGAGAGGACAAUGCCCUGAAGUCAUCCUUGCAGUGAGAAUGAAUAAUUCAUACUGUAUCUGCCUCUUUCCAGGGCUUCCCAAAAUAGCCUUUUUAAUUGUCCGUGUGUUGUGCUGCUGGCUUUAAUGUAGUUGCCCUCAGCUCAGAACACUUUGGUGCUUCAUGGUGACUUACCAGGCAGGCUCUCCUGCGGAAGCAAUGUUCUAUUCAGUUUCUUCUUUAGAGAGAAAAGACGGGGGGAUUGAAGAAAAUUAUACAUUUUAGAAUGGAAAACAAUUUUCUUUUCAAUUCCUCUGUGGAUCACCUCUUUGCCCAAUUACAACUGACCUCUGUGGUCCUAAAAAUUAAAUAAGGAGGGCAGAUGGGUAGGUGAUAUAGUUUCCCUCUGUGGUGUGAUCACCAAACACUUGGGAAUCUACAGAUCUCUUUUUCCCCCCCAUCACUGGAGCUGACUCAAGCCUGAGAGAGAAACCAUGCAUGCUGUAAGUGGCAGAGAUAGCAGAGUGGGGCUAUCUAACUAAGUGUCUCGGAGCCCAGUCAAUCACAUUGCAAGCUCCAAAUGCCAGACAUGGUGCUGCAAGAUUCAAUGUUCCCCCCAACCCCCGGUUGGAUUUUGUUUGUGUGCUGGUUGUUUUUAUGGUCAGCGCAACACAACCUAGAGUCAGAGAAGAGGGAACCUCAAUUGAAGAAUUCUUGAUCGAUGAUUGGUAUGGGUGGGCCCAGCCCACUAUGGGUGGCACCAUCCUUAGGCAGGGAGGUCUGGGAUGUAUACAAAAGCAGGCUGAACAUAACCCAGUGAACAAGCCGUUAAGCAUUGUUCCUCAUGGUUACUGCUUCUCAGUUUUCUACCUUGAGUUCCUGUUCUGACUUCCAUCAAUGAUGGAUUGUGACCUGGAACUAUAAACCAAAUAAACCCAUCCCUCACCAAGUUGCUUUUGAUUAUCAUAACAACAGAGAGGCAGAUUGAAACACAUGAUUAUUAUUCUAUACCCCAGUCCUUCCCUUUGGGAUAGGAAUGCUUAGUCUGUGCCAUUAUAUGUUAGAAGUGUGUCACUGGGUCAUUAUGGAUCACAGUUUGGAGAAUUCACACUUUUAAAGUCUUAGAAGGGUCGAUGACUUUGUAUUAUAGUUUACAUUAUAGAUAAACAUGAGACUUUGGUAGCAAAGGAUGGAACAGUCAUGGCUUUAAAAUGACAAGGUUUGGGGCUGGGGAUUUAGCUCAGUGGUAGAGCGCUUGCCUAGGAAGCGCAAGGCCCUGGGUUGGGUCCCCAGCUCCAAAAAAAAAAAAAAAAAAAAAAAGAACCCCCCUAAAAUGACGAGGUUUAGUGUCAAGUUGACAAAAGGGUAGAGUUGAUGAUGGUUCGUUGUUAUUUGUUUGUUUUGUUGUUUUUGGUGUUUCAAAACAGGCUAUAUCCAGCCUUGGCCAUCUUGGAACUCACUCUGUAGACCAGGCUGGCCUUGAACUCAGAAAUCCACCUGCCUCUCCCUCCCGAGUGCUGGGAUUAAAGGUGUGCGCCAACUGUCAGCCUGACACUAUAUAUUGACAGAUUGUCUAGAUGAGGUUGUAGGUAUGCCUGGGAGGGCUUUCUUUUUAUCACAGUAUUUCAUUAUUUUUAGUCAUGUGGGUUUAUGCGGUAAGGCGCGGGUAUGAACAGGAAUGCCGUUGCUCUGAGGCGCCAGAGUUUUGGGAUCCCCACAGAGCUGGAGUUGCGGGUGGAGUUGUGAGCUGUCCAAUGUGGGUGUGAAAAAUAAAACUUGGGUCUGCUGAGAGAACAAUGCUUGCUGUUCACCACUGAGGGGACCCACCCUGAAUACAGGCAGCAUCAGAUCUUGGACUCGGGGCUGAACUGAGUGAAAGAGAGAACCAGCUGUAUUCUAACAAGUGCGCUGUGAUUCACUGCUCUUGGAUCUUGACCGUGGACGGCGAGUGGCCAGUUCUCUCUCAAGCUUCUGCCUCUGAUUUCGCCGCCAUGAAGACAGGAACCUGGAACUGUAGGCUGAAUAAACCCUUUCUCUCUUAAGUUGCUUUUGUUCAGAGUGUUUUAUCGCAGCAACGGGAAAAGACAAAGACAGAUGCUUAUAAGCACUAUUAGGAAUUUAAUAUUUACACACGGAAUACGUAGUACAGUACAGAAUAUAUAAAGUAAUACUCACAUUGCAGCCAUAAACUACACUCUUCUGUUUUUUAAUUAAUCACAAUGUCUGUUAUCACACUUGCUUUUUAAAAAAGGGAAACAUUUCAAACUUGUAUAUUUAUUAUUUCAUAGGGGUGGUGUAGGGUCUAAUGUACCCCCAGGCUGGUCUUGAACCCACUAUGUAUCUAGCUGACGGUGGCCUUCUCAAAAUUGGGGUUACAGACAGGUGGGGUUAAAACCGAGGUGCUUGUUUGAAUUGCACACCAGUAUGUAGAGAAAAUCGAAAGAAUACAUGUGUGAAAUCAAGUUCCAGUGUUCCUAAGACGCGCUCAGAACCGGUUCCUUUAGUUGAUCUUUCACUAAGCUGCUGAUAGCCGUGCCUUUCACCCUGUCUUUUGUGUUACCGGCACAGCCCUGUUAUCUGGCCCCUCUCAGGAGCCUGAGCUUUGGCUGCUGGGCUCCAGCGCCUGCCUGGCACUUGUGUAGCGUUAACCUAAUUUCUACUUUCAGGUCCAGUGUCAGGAAUGUUGCUAGACAGGUCCGUUCUCUGCCUCCCCCGCCCUCCCCACAGCAUGUGGCUCCUAGGAGUUGAAAGAGCACACUUUUACCCGUGGGAUCUCAUCUCAAGCCUGAGACAUCCGUUCCACCAGGGGCUAUGCCGGUGCCAUUGGUGGCUGUGCUCACACGGGCAGGGUAUCUGUCUCCUUGAGGAUGCAGCCUGGCUAACAGUGGUGGCAUGUUGCCAAAACUAGUCCUGCACCGUUCCAGAGGUGCCAGGUUCUAAGAUGCUUUUAAAUGGGCAUCUUGGGGCUGGAGAGACAGGCUCAGCGGUUAAGAGCACUGGCUGUUCUUCUAGAGGAUCCGGGGUUCAAUUCCCAGCACCCACACGGCAGCUUACAAGUGUCUGUAAUUCUAGUUCCAGGGACUGUGUACGACACCCUCACGCAGAAACACAUGCAGACAAAACACCAAUGUGCACGACAUAAAAAUAAAUUGUUUAAAAUGGGCAUCUCGGAGAUGAUGAAGUGUAAGGCUAUGGAAGAGGCCACAUGGACAAGGCCACUUGGUCCUUUAUGAAUUAUGUGAGUUUCAUCUUGUGUUUCACGAUUAAAUCUCACUCUCUUCUUGCUUUAUGUGCAAAGGGCGGGCGUCUGCCUCGCGCAGUUAGUGUGACGAUAAAGGACAUGAUUUGUUUUACGUAUAAAUCUGAAGCUCGUUCUUAACUGGCUUCGAGAAUACAUGUUUUUGUUGUCAUGGGGGUGGGCGUGGGCAUGCAUAUACACAUGUGUGUGCAGAUGUGAACACCUGCCAGACAGGUGAUGUUAGGUGUUCUCUACCGCUCAACGUCUUUCUCUAUUGACAUAGCAUCUCUCACUUUACCUGAAGCUAUGCUGACAGCCACCAAGGUGCAGCAUUAACCCCUCCUGUUGUCCCUCUCACUCAGCACUGAUGUUACAGGCCUGUGCAGCUACGCCUGCACGCCGGGAAUACACACUCAGGUUAGCAUGCUUUCGUAGCUCUUACCCGUUGAUCCAUCCUCCAGCCCUUGCUCCCCCACCCCCACCCCAACAUAGUAGGGUCUUACUAUGCAGCACAUAUUGGUCUAGAAUGUGUUGUCAAUCCUCCUGCCUCAACCUUCUAGAUACUGGAACUACAGGAAUGUACCGCCACACCAGGCUUGAGAAUGUUUUAAUUAUAGGUUAUUCCUUUUCAGUCUCACAGUGCCCCCUUCCUUUGGGAGAGGCAGUUACCAGAGUUACAGAGGCGACGUCACAAAGAGGGCCUUAGAGAUGUGAUAAUUCAGCGGCUUCCUCGUUCCCCAGAACAAUCAAGUGUUUGCCUAAAGACAGAGGAUUCAAACUCAGAUAUUGUCACUCCAGUUCCGGGGCUCCAUCUGAACCACGCCAGCCUGGGAGAGGCCCUGGGCAGACAGGAUCCCAGAGAGCACCGGAAAUCAGAUUUCUUCUUAGAGGAUCUGGUUCUCAGGUGGUGAGGCUAGCGUGAGCAGUUGCAAUCCGAGAAGAUUCUAGAAAAGCUGUAUGUCAGGGAACAAUGGAGGGCUACUGUCUCUGCUUUCCCUGCUUAGGGGGGGCAACUGGAUGACUGAUUCCUUGGGAACCCAGUUCAUGGCAUCAGAGAGAUCAAAGCAAAGAGCUGAGUGUCCCUGACUCCCACGUUUAGAGCAUGAUGGCGGGUCAUGCCAGGGGCUGUGAUCCAGGAUGCUCUGAUGAGUCAUUGCCAGACACGAGUGACUUUGAGAAGCAAGUUUUCCAAAUUGAUCCCUACUUUUGGGGAAACUGAGUCUCCAGGAUGGGGGAGAAAAGGGCUGAGGUUACACAGCUAAGAAGGACGAGACUGAGUGAUUGUAUACAGGACUUCUGAAACCUACUCCCGACUUGAGGGUGAGGAUUCAGCUGGGCUCCGGUUAUCUGAGGGCCAACAGGGCAGGGAUGUCAGGAACUCCAGUCUACUAUGGCAGUGGGCCUUCAGGAAACGAUUCUCCAAAGAGAUUCGGUUAAAAUUAGAGCAUCACGGUUCCCAGCCAACGAGCCUUCCUUCUGUAUGUGAGUUGACGUGACGGGGAAAACACUACUAACAGCUAUUUCCCAGAGACUCUGCUAAAGCGGAACCAAGACUGCCUCUUGGUAUCAUGACUGUAGUACCACCCUGAGGCUGCUUCCUGGGUUUUAACUUCAGCUCUCUGCCUCUAGACCCUUGGAAAGCUCUGGGCCAAUCUCUUUGUUUUGUGUCCUCGAUUUACAGUAAAAGCUGGGCCAUUCAUUUGCCAAGUCCUUCUUAGUGCUAACUUUCUUUCAUAUGGGUACUUCGGUGGCCCCACUUGACAUCCGUGGGGUAAAUAAAUAUCAAAUAAUUCA